UCUCCUCAACUUUUAUCCACACUAGUUCUGAAAUAAUACAAGCUUCACAAGCUUUCAUGACUCAAAUCUUCCAAAUGCUGAGAAUUCUAAUUGAUUCGUAGAGAUAUUUAAGAGUACAGUCUAGAUCUUUCCCAUUUAAGGAAUAUAUAUUUUAUGAGGACCUACUCUGCCCCAGGCAUUUUACGUAUCACAUCCCUUCCAUUUUUCACAACAACUCUGAGAAAUAGUUGCCAUUAACCCCAUUUACAGAUGAGAAAACCGAGACACAGAGAAAUACAAUAAAUGGUCUCAGAACGAGGCAGUGUCAGGCUUGGGGUCUGAACUCCCAAAUGGUUGGCUUCCACGUUCGUGCACACAUUGCAGUGUCUCUCAGUUUUGUACUGUUGACAUUUGCGCAGGAGAACUCUUUGUUGAGGGGGCUGCUCUGGGCUUGUGUUGCAGGACGUUUAGCAGCAUCACUGGCUUCUCCCCUGUAGAUGCUCCCGCUGCAGGCGUGACGACCGGAAACCUAUCCGGUCACUGUAAGUGUCCCCCGGUAAAACCAUCUCUAGGUGAGAGCUGUGAGUUGAUCCUGCGGCUGGCCUUCUAUUUGCUGUGGAGUGGCUUUAUCUGAGAACCAGAGGCGGGGUCCUGGCAAGCUUACUCUCCUGCAGAGCGAUGAGUCCACUGAGCCAAGGAGACACCCCUGCCUGUCGCUCCUCCACAGCUCUGCACCACAAUCUACCUUCCAGGACCUGUGCCAGACAUGCGCCGGAGUGUGCACUUCUGCCCCUGCAAGAUGUGACAACCAGAAACAUAUACAGUCAUGGGCAAGGACUGCUGACCUUCAAUGAGGAUUGCAUGGGAAGCCCUGGACUUACAUUGAGGUGUGAGCCAGGCAGGAAAACGAAACCAGUCUAAGGUUUCUCCAAGUCUUAUACACAUCCCUUACUCCACCUUCAGCCUGCUUGGAACUCAAUAGUUUGAGCAAUUCACACUGAAGUGACCCUGACACCUCCUUUGGCCAGUCACAAGCCUGGGUCUGGCUGCCAAAAAUAAUCAGUGCUUCCACAUGGCUUGAGCAGAGCUAUGUGCUGCCAGGCCUGGCCAAGAAGCCCUGGGGCUUGGAGUGGGCAGAGGUGGUGGUGGGGAGGACAAAGAAGCCUGGAAAGUCAGUUUGGCUUGCAAUGGUUAACACUCA